GCUUGUCUCAAAGAUUAAGCCAUGCAUGUCUAAGUAUAAACAACUUUAUACUGUAAAACUGCGAACGGCUCAUUAUAUCAGCAAUAAUUUAUUUGAUGGUUUCUUACCCCAUGGAUAACUGUGGUAAUUCUAGAGCUAAUACAUGCGUAAAGUCCCGACUCUUUCUGGGGAGGGAUGUAUUUAUUAGAUAAAAAACCAAUGCGGGUUCCCCGGUAUUUGGUGAUUCAUAAUAACUUUCGGAUCGACUUCGGUCGAUGCAUCAUUCAAGUUUCUGCCCUAUCAGCUUUGGAUGGUAGGGUAUUGGCCUACCAUGGCUUUAACGGGUAACGGAGAAUUAGGGUUCGAUUCCGGAGAGGGAGCCUGAGAAAUGGCUACCACAUCCAAGGAAGGCAGCAGG
rnacentral:rRNA from 1 species